UCUGCUAGACAGCAUGCCUGGCUCUGGUAAUGGUACACAUGAGAAUUACAUGCCGGAUGACACCAGAAAAGAUACGAGCAUGAAAAUAUAAAGGUGAAAAGCAAAGCUUUCAAGUCAUCUUGUUGUGAAACCUUCCUGAGAACAUCUGCAAGAAUCUCCUCCCACCCACCCAUGUGCUCCAGCAUUUUGUUUAACUGAUCUUUGAAAAGUCAAGUAUCUUUGGUCUGAUGACUGCCAGUAAUAAUAAGUAGUAAUAAGUGA